GAUGAACGCNGGCGGCGUGCCUAACACAUGCAAGUCGAGCGAGGGUUUGCUCAGUAUUGAGUAUUCUAAAACUAGAAUGUUCAAUUCUGAGCAAAACCAAGCGGCGGACGGGUGAGUAACGCGUGGGUAACCUGCCCUAUACACAUGGAUAACAUACUGAAAAGUUUACUAAUACAUGAUAAUAUAUAUUUGCGGCAUCGCAGAUAUAUCAAAGUGUUAGCGGUAUAGGAUGGACCCGCGUCUGAUUAGCUAGUUGGUGAGAUAACUGCCCACCAAGGCGACGAUCAGUAGCCGACCUGAGAGGGUGAUCGGCCACAUUGGAACUGAGACACGGUCCAAACUCCUACGGGAGGCAGCAGUGGGGAAUAUUGCACAAUGGGCGAAAGCCUGAUGCAGCAACGCCGCGUGAACGAUGAAGGUCUUCGGAUCGUAAAGUUCUGUUGCAGGGGAAGAUAANGACGGUNC
rnacentral:rRNA from 1 species